AACGAACGCUGGCGGCAUGCCUAACACAUGCAAGUCGAACGAAGCCCUGACUUCGGUUGGGUGCUUAGUGGCGCACGGGUGCGUAACGCGUGGGAAUCUGCCCUUCGGUUCGGAAUAACAGUUAGAAAUGACUGCUAAUACCGGAUGACGACGAAAGUCCAAAGAUUUAUCGCCGAGGGAUGAGCCCGCGUAGGAUUAGGUAGUUGGUGGGGUAAUGGCCUACCAAGCCGACGAUCCUUAGCUGGUCUGAGAGGAUGAUCAGCCACACUGGGACUGAGACACGGCCCAGACUCCUACGGGAGGCAGCAGUGGGGAAUAUUGGACAAUGGGCGAAAGCCUGAUCCAGCAAUGCCGCGUGAGUGAUGAAGGCCUUAGGGUUGUAAAGCUCUUUUACCCGGGAUGAUAAUGACAGUACCGGGAGAAUAAGCUCCGGCUAACUCCGUG
rnacentral:rRNA from 1 species